UACAGAGGGUGCGAGCGUUAAUCGGAAUUACUGGGCGUAAAGCGCGCGUAGGCGGCUAAGUAAGCCGGUUGUGAAAGCCCCGGGCUCAACCUGGGAAUGGCAUCCGGAACUGUUUAGCUAGAGUGCAGAAGAGGAAGGUAGAAUUCCCGGUGUAGCGGUGAAAUGCGUAGAGAUCGGGAGGAAUACCAGUGGCGAAGGCGGCCUUCUGGUCUGACACUGACGCUGAGGUGCGAAAGCCAGGGUCUCGAACCGG
rnacentral:misc_RNA from 1 species